rnacentral:snRNA from 2 species
AUCACUUCUCAGCCUUUUGGCUAAGAUCAAGUGUAGUAUCUGUUCUCAUCACCUUAGUAUUGCUACAUCCUCUAUUCAAGACUAAGAGCUAAAUCCUAAGAUUAAGAGAAAAAUAGUCCUGCUAUAGCAGAGCCUGAAUGAAGCCGCCACAGAAACAAAGUGAUCCACUAGCAAUUUAGUGGAUCAACCCUCU